CGUUGAAGCACCAGUUCCUGUACAAACACUGAAGUUAAGCAACGUUGAGCUUGGUCAGUACCUAGAUAGGUAACUGCUUGGGAAUACCAGGUGCAGUA